ensembl:snRNA U2 U2 spliceosomal RNA
AUGGAGUUGGGCCUUUGGCUAAGAUUAAGUUUAGUAUCUGUUCUAGUUUAAUAUCUGAUAGAAUGUUCAUUAUACGAGGAUUAAAUAUUAAAUUCCUUUUUUGCUCCACAUAUCCACCUGGUAUUGCAGUUCAUCCGAGAACAGUGUGUGGUUA